rnacentral:rRNA from 1 species
GACGAACGCUGGCGGCGUGCUUAACACAUGCAAGUCGAACGGAAAGGCCCUGCUUUUGUGGGGUGCUCGAGUGGCGAACGGGUGAGUAACACGUGAGUAACCUGCCCUUGACUUUGGGAUAACUUCAGGAAACUGGGGCUAAUACCGGAUAGGAGCUCCUGCUGCAUGGUGGGGGUUGGAAAGUUUCGGCGGUUGGGGAUGGACUGGCGGCUUAUCAGCUUGUUGGUGGGGUAGUGGCUUACCAAGGCUUUGACGGGUAGCCGGCCUGAGAGGGUGACCGGCCACAUUGGGACUGAGAUACGGCCCAGACUACUACGGGAGGCAGCAGUGGGGAAUAUUGCACAAUGGGCGGAAGCCUGAUGCAGCAACGCCGCGUGCGGGAUGACGGCCUUCGGGUUGUAAACCGCUUUCGCCUGUGACGAAGCGUGAGUGACGGUAAUGGGUAAAGAAGCACCGGCUAACUACGUG